rnacentral:rRNA from 1 species
AUUGAACGCUGGCGGCAGGCCUAACACAUGCAAGUCGAGCGGAUGAAGGGAGCUUGCUCCUGGAUUCAGCGGCGGACGGGUGAGUAAUGCCUAGGAAUCUGCCUGGUAGUGGGGGAUAACGUCCGGAAACGGGCGCUAAUACCGCAUACGUCCUGAGGGAGAAAGUGGGGGAUCUUCGGACCUCACGCUAUCAGAUGAGCCUAGGUCGGAUUAGCUAGUUGGUGGGGUAAAGGCCUACCAAGGCGACGAUCCGUAACUGGUCUGAGAGGAUGAUCAGUCACACUGGAACUGAGACACGGUCCAGACUCCUACGGGAGGCAGCAGUGGGGAAUAUUGGACAAUGGGCGAAAGCCUGAUCCAGCCAUGCCGCGUGUAUGAAGAAGGUCUUCGGAUUGUAAAGCGCUUUAAGUUGGGAGGAAGGGCAGUAAGUUAAUACCUUGCUGUUUCGACGUUGCCAACAGAAUAAGCACCGGCUAACUUCGUG